CUAGUCGAUCCUCUUUCCCGUUCACUCUUCUCGUCAGUCGAUGAUUGAAUAUCGAAUGACAGAUCAGUGCGCGAGAAGGAAGACUAG
rfam:Pristionchus pacificus strain PS312 contig2224, whole genome shotgun sequence.